CGGGGUAUGGCGCAGUCUGGUAGCGCAUCUGCUUUGGGAGCAGAGGGUCGUGGGUUCAAGUCCCUCUACCCCGA
rnacentral:tRNA from 1 species